AUCCGGAGGGUCCAAGCGUUAUCCGGAAUCAUUGGGUUUAAAGGGUCCGCAGGCGGUCAAUUAAGUCAGAGGUGAAAGCCCAUCGCUCAACGAUGGAACUGCCUUUGAUACUGGUUGACUUGAGUUAUACGGAAGUAGAUAGAAUAAGUAGUGUAGCGGUGAAAUGCAUAGAUAUUACUUAGAAUACCGAUUGCGAAGGCAGUCUACUACGUAUAUACUGACGCUGAGGGACGAAAGCGUGGGGAGCGAACAGGAUUAGAUACCCUAGUAGUCC
rnacentral:rRNA from 1 species